rnacentral:lncRNA from 1 species
GGCCUAGGUGUCUGCACGGGGGAAGGCCCCGAUGGCGUCCGGUGACGAAGGAAGGUCGGUCGGUGGCGGGGCGUCGACCGACUCUCCACUGCCUGACAGAGUGUCGGCCCUGGCCAACCACGACUUGGCCAGGAGGCUAUGCCAAGCGCUCAUCCUUUCGGCCGACAUUGAGGCCAUGAAGAACCAGCGUGUCUCUGACAUGCUGUCUUCGUUUUACCCGACCAUGAUCCGGGUAAGUCUUCCUCUUCUUCGUUUCCAUUAUC